GCCACGGUGGCUAGGUGGUUAGCGCUGUCGCCUCACAGCAAGAAGGUCACGGGUUCGAAUCCGGCCUGGGGCG